UACGGGAGGGGCAAGCGUUGUUCGGAAUUACUGGGCGUAAAGGGCGCGUAGGCGGUUUGCUAAGUUGGACGUGAAAACUCUGGGCUUAACUCAGAGCCUGCAUCCAAAACUGGCAAGCUGGAGUAUUGGAGGGGGAAGCGGAAUUCCUGGUGUAGCAGUGAAAUGCGUAGAUAUCAGGAGGAACACCGGUGGCGAAGGCGGCUUCCUGGACAAUAACUGACGCUGAGGCGCGAAAGCUAGGGGAGCAAACAGG
rnacentral:rRNA from 1 species